rnacentral:RNase_P_RNA from 1 species
CAAGCCGGCCAGGCGGUCGCGCCCUGUGACCCCUGACCCCUUGAGAACGGGGCGCAGGGUGAGGAAAGUCCGGGCUCCGCAGGGCACGGUGCUGGGUAACACCCAGGCGGGGUGACCCGACGGAAAAGGGCCACAGAAACAUACCGCCGCCCCCUCCCCUCACCUCUCCCCCAGUGGGGGAGGGGAAGGGGGUGGGGGAGGUAAGGGUGAAAAGGUGGUGUAAGAGACCACCGGCACUCGUGGUGACACGGGUGGCCAGGCAACCCCCACCGGGAGCAAGGCCAAGCAGGGGCGAGUAGGGG